GUACAAUCCAAUUACAUGCGCAUAUAGGAAAAAAUAUUCAGUUCGGUUUUCGUUGUUAUCUGUUCUUCGAACGAACAUGAUUUCGCUUUACUUUGAAUGAAAUUUUCAGAUUCAAAAAUCAGAAAAGAGAAAAUCAACAAAAAUGUGAACAAUGCGAUUAAAAUACGAUCGCAUGCGGAUGGUUAUGUGCGUGAAUACAUUGAUACAAUAAUAUCUAUGUAUGUGUAUUAUAUUUGACCACAACAAAGCGGUAAUAUAUUAUUACGGGAGAGAAAAAUAUACGAACAGUUGUACUUUUGCGCGGGGAGAUAAGUUAUCGUAUAUAUCGUACUAUAAUAUCAAGUGGCUAGAAAAUUUUGUACAGUACCAAGGCUUCACCCAAAGCUGUUGAUUCGCGCUAAUUGUCACUAAUUAUCGUCAAGUCCGACUACGGCUUUAACGGUAUAACGGACAAUCCGACGCGGACAAUCUCUUCGCGAAUGAAACUUACAUAGUAUAUGCAUCAUUUUCUCAGGGCGAUGAAAUUUUUUUAUCGAUAUACAUAUAGAGAACAAGUUUCACACCUAUAUGCGACUCGGUCUGAAAAUUUUUGAAAGAAGAUUAAACGUCACUUUUGAACUCCUGAAUAAAUAUGAUAUACAUUUACAUAUACACGCAUAUAUUCUACACAUUUUGAUUUACGGUAUUCUGAGAAUUCCGUUCGUCGUUUGUAUUCGUGGAAUGAUUAAUUAUUUAAGAUGGAAAACUAUCCGAGUGAUGAACGGACGUCGAAGGGAUUGGCGGAGGUAUGAAGAGAGGGAAAACUAACAGUAGUAAAUACACAUGUAUGUCAAUUUACAUACAUGUGUGUAGAUAUACUGGGAGGCGUGACAAAAUGAUCGAGAUGAAAUAUCAUGCACCAGAAGCAUAUAUAAAGUACGUUGAACUAUUCGAGGAAAAUUCAGUUUGGAAUGUAAAACUGAAUUAUACAGAACUACAAACGUAUUGAUAAAUAAUCCAUGGAUUUGACGUGAAUUUUUUGUUAGCGAAUUCAAAUUCAGAGAGUAGACUGCUGCCGUCUCUGCGAACCUGUUUAUAACUAAAUUCAUAAUUGCAAUAUCAAUUAGAACUGGAAAAUAUCGGGGCAGAGAAGUACAUGUUUUUGUUCACUAUUUUGCACAUCAGCAUUUUUGUACUUUCGAAAAAUGUAAUUCAGCGGCUUCAAAAUGGCGACUGUUAUAAUAAAAAAUAUAAUACAAUAUGAA